rnacentral:rRNA from 1 species
AUAUCUCGGCUCUCGCAUCGAUGAAGAACGUAGCGAAAUGCGAUACUUGGUGUGAAUUGCAGAAUCCCGUGAACCAUCGAGUCUUUGAACGCAAGUUGCGCCCUAAGCCGUCAGGCCGAGGGCACGCCUGCCUGGGCGUCACGCAUCGUCGCCCCCACCACCUCGUGN